AUUGAACGCUGGCGGCAGGCUUAACACAUGCAAGUCGAGCGGGGGAAGGUAGCUUGCUACCGGAACUAGCGGCGGACGGGUGAGUAAUGCUUAGGAAUCUGCCUAUUAGUGGGGGAAAACAUCUCGAAAGGGAUGCUAAUACCGCAUACGUCCUACGGGAGAAAGCAGGGUAUCUUCGGACCUUGCGCUAAUAGAUGAGCCUAAGUCGGAUUAGCUAGUCGGUGGGGUAAAGGCCUACCAAGGCGACGAUCUGUAGCGGGUCUGAGAGGAUGAUCCGCCACACAUGGACUGGGCCACGGACCAGAUUCCUACGGGCGGUAGCAGUGGGGAAUAUUGGACUAUGGGGGGAACCCUGAUCCAGCCAUGCCGCGUGUGUGAAGAAGGCCUUUUUGUUGUAGAGCACAUUAAGCGAGGAGGAGGAUACCGAGAUUAAUACUCUUGGAUAGUGGACGUUACUCGCAGAAUAAGCACCGGCUAACUCAGUGCCAGCCGCCGCCGUAAUAC
rnacentral:rRNA from 1 species